rnacentral:rRNA from 1 species
UGGCUCAGGAUGAACGCUAGGCGGCAGGCUUAACACAUGCAAGUCGAGGGGCAGCGGGAUGUAGCAAUACAUUGCCGGCGACCGGCGGAGUGGGUGCGUAACGCGUAUGCAACCUACCUUAGUACAGGGGAAUAACCGUUUCGAAAGGGAGACUAACACCCCAUGGUAUUGAUUUAAGGCAUCGUUAGAUUUAAUUAAAUAUUUAUAGGUAUAAGAUGGGCAUGCGUAUGAUUAGCUAGUUGGUAAGGUAACGGCUUACCAAGGCGACGAUCAUAGGGGUUCUGAGAGGAAGGUCCCCCACACUGGUACUGAGACACGGACCAGACUCCUACGGGAGGCAGCAGUGAGGAAUAUUGGGUCAAUGGGCGCAAGCCUGAACCAGCCAUGCCGCGUGCAAGGAAGACGGCCUUAUGGGUUGUAAACUGCUUUUACAUAAGACUAACCGUAUAUUUGCGAAUAUACCUGAAUGUAUUAUGAGAAUAAGGAUCGGCUAACUCCGUGCCAGCCGCCGC